rnacentral:rRNA from 1 species
UACGGGGGGAGCAAGCGUUGUUCGGAUUUACUGGGCGUAAAGGGCGCGUAGGCGGCCACCGCAAGUCGACUGUGAAAUCUCCGGGCUUAACCCGGAAAGGUCUGCCGAUACUGCGGGGCUAGAGUGCAGAAGGGGCAACUGGAAUUCUCGGUGUAGCGGUGAAAUGCGUAGAUAUCAGGAGGAACACCGGUGGCGAAGGCGGGUCUCUGGGCAGUAACUGACGCUGAGGAGCGAAAGCGUGGGGAGCGAACAGG